GUGUGUGGGAUCUGCUUACUGUUUGUGCUCGAGCCUCACUCUAAUGUGCCUCCUGUCCUGGGACCUAGGCUUUUGCAAGAUGAGGUCGAAAGGCCCUGACAGCCGCACGGAAGACUGUAUUUCCACCUUCACCAGUUCUCCUGUUCUAAACUCAGGCUCAGAAGAAGAUCCUGGGGGCUGAGUGGCGGAGUCCUUCUCCCUGACUUCAUGGCGAGGCAGCCAGCAAGACUAGGCAGUAAUUACCCCCCCCAGGUGAUUGUACAAUGUCUGCGGGUGCCUUGCAAAGCUGGUUGGGAGCCAUGUAGAUACGUGCAGGCUGAGAAGUCUCUGCAUGACGGGAUCUGCUGCUGCCUGCACGGCUCUUGCCACCCCCAAGGGGAUGAUAAGGAAAUAACUGGUUGGGCCAUGCCAGAGUUUUUUUUGGUGAUCAUACAUAGGGGACCCAGCCCUAAGAGAGUUAGACCCUGAAGAUCUUAAACAUCCUUGACAUUUACAUAGCAAACACCAGUGUUUGAAACAUUUGGAAUAAAUCUACAGAUGGAGCACCAGAUUUCAUUGUGUUUCUAAUGGCAAAUGUGGAUGUGAACUGAGAUUGCGUAAAACUAAAAGUCCCCUAACAGGACUUCCCUGGUGCUGUAAGAACAGUUCUUUUCAUGGCCAGACUGUAAAACCAGCAAAGGAUGCUAUAUUAUACGACUGUAUCAGAAAAGUGCUUCCCCCUCCCCAAAUAAAUUUACUAAGAGUUGACUCUAAGACUUAGUUCAGGGCUUCCCUGGUGGCUCAGUAGUAAAGAAUCUGCCUGCCAAAUGCAGGAGAGACACAGGUUCGAUCCCUGAUCCAGGAAGAUUCCGCAUGCCACGGAGCAACUAAGCCGGUGCUCUGCAACUACUGAGCCUGUGCUCUAGAGCCCAUGAGCCGCAAUUACUGAAGCCUGCUAGACCUAAGGCCCGUGCUCCACAACCAGAGAAGCCGCCACAGUGAGAGGCCCGAGCACCGCAGCUAGAGAGCAGCCUCCACUUGUCACAACUAGAGAAAACCCCCCCAACAACAGACCCAGGACAGCCAAAAAU
ensembl:lncRNA